rnacentral:rRNA from 1 species
AACGAACGCUGGCGGCAUGCCUAACACAUGCAAGUCGAACGAGACCUUCGGGUCUAGUGGCGCACGGGUGCGUAACGCGUGGGAAUCUGCCCUUGGGUUCGGAAUAACAGUUAGAAAUGGCUGCUAAUACCGGAUGAUGACUUCGGUCCAAAGAUUUAUCGCCCAAGGAUGAGCCCGCGUAGGAUUAGCUUGUUGGUGAGGUAAAGGCUCACCAAGGCGACGAUCCUUAGCUGGUCUGAGAGGAUGAUCAGCCACACUGGGACUGAGACACGGCCCAGACUCCUACGGGAGGCAGCAGUGGGGAAUAUUGGACAAUGGGCGAAAGCCUGAUCCAGCAAUGCCGCGUGAGUGAUGAAGGCCUUAGGGUUGUAAAGCUCUUUUACCCGGGAUGAUAAUGACAGUACCGGGAGAAUAAGCCCCGGCUAACUUCGUGCCAGCCGCCGCUGUAAUAC